AUGGACGAUCUUAGAGCCAGGAUAAGUUUCCAACGGGACAUUAGGGACUGUAACAUCCUUUGUUUGUCUGAAACAUGGCUCACGCCCUCGGUCUCGGACGCUGCUGUAACGCCGUCUGAAAACUUCUCUGUUUUACGGAUGGACAGGACAGCCGAGGCCGGUAAAUCCAAGGGUGGAGGAGUGUGUUUCAUGAUUAACAAGAAAUGGUGUGACCCCAGGAAUAUCUCCACUCUGUCGCGCUCCUGCUCGCCUCAUCUGGAACAUUUAUCUAUUAUUUGCCGCCCAUUCUAUCUUCCCCGGGAGUUUUCAUCGAUCAUCGUUACUGCUGUCUACAUCCCACCACAAGCUGACACCGGUUUGGCUUUGUCCGAGCUUCACGAUGCGCUCAGCGGCAACAUCAACAAACAUCCUGACGCUGCUGUUAUCAUCGCUGGGGACUUUAACAAAGCCAACCUCAGGCAGGUUAUGCCUAAUUAUUAUCAACAUGUAUCCUGUCCAACCAGAGGACCGAAUACACUGGAUCACUGCUACACUCAGUUUAAGCAUGCCUACAAAGCUCGCUCACUACCGGCUUUCGGCAAAUCGGACCAUGCCGCCAUUUUCCUCACACCGGAAUAUAAACAAAGGCUCGUUCAAGAACCCCCGGUGCAGAGGGUAGUGACGCGCUGGUCCGCCCACUCAGAAGCCAUGCUACAGGCGGCUCUUGAUGACGUAGACUGGGACAUGUUUCGGGCAAGUUCAUCUGACGUCAGCGAGUUCACGGAUGUAGCAUUAAGCUUUGUAAACACGCUAGCCGAACAAGCUACGGAUACAAUAUCUAUAAGGACCUUCUCUAAUCAGAAACCUUGGGUGGACAGUACAAUCCGUGCAGCAGUAAACAAACGCACUGCUGCUUACAACGCCGGUCUUUUGUCGGGAAACAUGAGUGAGUACAAAGCAUCGUGCUAUGCUCUCCGACGCGCAGUAAGAGCCGCCAAACUCCGAUACAGGGAACGAAUAGAGUCACAUUUCCAGCUCAAUGACUCCCGACGCAUGUGGCAAGGACUAAGAACCAUCUGUGCCUUUGGAAAUAAAUCCUCUGCAGAGGUGAGAGCAGAUCCGUCGCUGGCUGACGAGCUAAACACUUUCUACGGCCGCUUUGAAAGCAAUCUGAGCAGCGCGAGUCUGCCGAUCAGCGCGUCAGGAAGCAGCAUUCAUAGCAGCGAUAAUCAUGUAAUCACCGUGUCUGAGGACGAGGUUCGGAGGGCUCUAAAGCGAGUGAAUGUCAGGAAAGCAGCCGGACCUGAUGGGAUUUCUGGCCGUAUUCUGCGGUCCUGUGCUGAUCAGCUCGCUGGUUUGUUUACAUCCAUUUUUAAUGAGUCUCUUGCUACAUCGGUGGUUCCCACCUCCUUCAAAAAAAUCUGUCAUCAUCCCUGUGCCUAA
ensembl:lncRNA